rnacentral:pre_miRNA from 10 species
AUGCUUUCAAAUUGAUACUUUAUCUGGAUGACUGGUUUCCUGUGGUUCCUUGAUUGUAAAUAAUAUUCAAGCACCAUAUGAAAUCAGUUUUCCAAAUAGAAUCAUUUCUACAAAGGAUCU